CAGCGGAGAGGUAGCAAUACCUUUGCCGGCGACCGGCGCACGGGUGAGUAACACGUAUGCAAUCCACCUGUAACAGGGAGAUAACCCGGAGAAAUCCGGACUAAUACCCCAUAAUAUGGGCGCUCCGCAUGGAGGGUCCAUUAAAGAGAGCAAUUUUGGUUACAGACGAGCAUGCGCUCCAUUAGCCAGUUGGCGGGGUAACGGCCCACCAAAGCGACGAUGGAUAGGGGUUCUGAGAGGAAGGUCCCCCACAUUGGAACUGAGACACGGUCCAAACUCCUACGGGAGGCAGCAGUGAGGAAUAUUGGUCAAUGGUCGGCAGACUGAACCAGCCAAGUCGCGUGAGGGAAGACGGCCCUACGGGUUGUAAACCUCUUUUGUCGGAGAGUAAAGUGCGCUACGCGUAGCGUAUUGCAAGUAUCCGAAGAAAAAGCAUCGGCUAACUCCGUGCCAGCAGCCGCGGUAAUACGGAGGAUGCGAGCGUUAUCCGGAUUUAUUGGGUUUAAAGGGUGCGUAGGCGGCACGCCAAGUCAGCGGUGAAAUUUCCGGGCUCAACCCGGACUGUGCCGUUGAAACUGGCGAGCUAGAGUGCACAAGAGGCAGGCGGAAUGCGUGGUGUAGCGGUGAAAUGCAUAGAUAUCACGCAGAACCCCGAUUGCGAAGGCAGCCUGCUAGGGUGCGACAGACGCUGAGGCACGAAAGCGUGGGU
rnacentral:rRNA from 1 species